GGAGGAGACGCGCUCCCGGUGGGGCGGCCGGACUUCAAAUCCGGAGAGGGCCGCGAGACGGCUCUUGGUGGGUUCGACUCCUACCUCCUCCGCCA
rnacentral:tRNA from 1 species